CAGUCGCCACGGUAAUACGAAGGGGGCUAGCGUUGUUCGGAUUUACUGGGCGUAAAGCGCACGUAGGCGGAUCGAUCAGUCAGGGGUGAAAUCCCAGAGCUCAACUCUGGAACUGCCUUUGAUACUGUCGAUCUGGAGUAUGGAAGAGGUGAGUGGAAUUCCGAGUGUAGAGGUGAAAUUCGUAGAUAUACGGAGGAACACCAGUGGCGAAGGCGGCUCACUGGUCCAUUACUGACGCUGAGGUGCGAAAGCGUGGGGAGCAAACAGGAUUAGAUACCCCUGUAGUCCCUGUCUCUUAUAC
rnacentral:rRNA from 1 species